rnacentral:rRNA from 1 species
AUGGCGCAACUUUUGGUGAGCUCGUCCGCCGGGGCCAUGGGCUCCGUCCUUGGAAAGUUGGGAACCAUGUUAAGUGAUGAAUACAAGUUGCUAAAGGGCGUUCAUGAUGACAUCAAGUUCCUCAAAGAUGAGCUCGAAGCCAUGCAAGGAUUUCUCCUGAUGAUGGCUGAUGUGGAGAAACCUGACCAACAAGCUAAGGUUCGUGUGAAUGCUGUGCGAGAGAUGUCCUACGAGAUUGAGGACACCAUCGACAAGUUUAUGCUACUCGGGGAAUCAGAUGAUUCUAGUUCUAUGUUUGAUGGCUUUGGGAAGGUUUGCAAGAAAAUCAUGAAAAAGAUAGCAGACAUCAAGACCUGCCAUAAGAUCGCCAAGGACAUUCAUGAUAUCAAGACCCAAGUUAAGGAGAUCAGCAAGAGAUACGCAAGGUACAUGGUCAAUGAGCCUUCAAGAUCAAAAAAUGAAAAUUUUGACCCUCGAAUUCGCGCCAUUUAUAAGGAUGCAUCAGAUCUUAUUGGUGUCGAUGGCCCGCGAGAUGAGAUUGUGAAGUGGUUGUGCAACAGAGAUGGUGAAUCAACAUGUCAACUAAAAGUUGUCUCUAUUGUUGGAUAUGGAGGGUUAGGCAAGACAACUCUCGCCAGACAGGUCUAUGACAAGCUUAGAACAAACUAUGAAUGUCGGGCUUUUGUAUCAAUUUCCCGAAGUCCUGAUAUGACCAAGAUUUUUAGUUCUAUAUUAUCUCAACUCCGCAACCAAGAAUUUGCUCAACCAGGGGAUCUACAGCUAACCAUUGAGCUAAUCAGGACGUUUCUACAACAUAAAAGGUACUUUAUCAUAAUUGAUGAUGUAUGGGACAUACAUACAUGGCAAGGUUUGAAUUGUGCGCUAUUCAGGAAUGAUCGUGGUAGCGUAAUAAUGACAACAACCCGUAUAUAUGAUGUGGCUAAGUCAUGUUGUCUUUCUUAUGGGGACCAUCUUGUGUACAAAAUCCAACCACUUGGUGUUCCUGACUCGAAGAAGUUAUUUUUCAAGCGAAUAUUUGGUUGUGAAGAGAAGUGCCCAUCUAAUUUGAAACAAGUCUCAGAAGAUAUCUUAAAGAAAUGUGGUGGUUUACCACUGGCCAUCAACACCAUAUCUAGCUUGUUGGCUACUGGGAAAAAGGAAGAAGAGUGGUAUAGUGUUCGAAGUUCUAUCGGCUUUGCACAAGGCACAAAUUCUGACAUUAAUACCAUGAAUUACAUAUUAUCGCUGAGCUACUAUGACCUUCCCCUCUGUCUAAGAAGUUGCCUAUUAUAUUUGACUAUGUUUCCUGAAGAUUAUGAUAUUGAAAUGGAGCGAUUAGUGCACAAAUGGAUUUCUGAGGGUUUCAUCCAUGGCGAAGAUGGGAAAGAUCUUUUUGAGAUAGGAGAGACAUAUUUCCUUGAGCUUGUUAAUAGAAGUUUAAUACAACCGAUACACAUAAGUUAUGAUGGGGCAUCCUCUUGCCGAGUCCAUGACACUAUUCUUGAUUUCCUUAUUUACAUGUCUACCGAAGAGAACUUUUGUAUGUUGUUAAGCAAUCAUUCGAAGUCGGUUAGCAGAGUUCGUCGUCUCUCUCUUAUGGGAAAUGAAGAUCAAGAAAGCGUGGAAAAAUUGGAUUUGUCACAUGUUAGAUCACUUGGUUCUUUUGGGUAUCACCUUGAAUGCUUGCCUUCCCUUCCGAAGUUAAAUGCUCACCGUGUGCUGGACCUGUGCAGUUGUAAUGGGCUGAGGAAUUAUCAUCUCAAAUGCAUCGGAAGGCUUUUCCAGUUGAGGUACUUGAACAUCUCUCUCACAAACAUAACCGAGCUUCCUAGAGAAAUUGGAGAUUUGGAGUAUUUAGAGACGCUAGAUGCGUCAGGGGCGGAAUUAAAUGAGCUUCCUGAAUCGGUUACUCGGCUAAAACGACUAGCACGUCUUUUUGUUCCAAAGCAAACUAAAUUUCCUGAUGCUGUUGGAAACAUGGAGAACUUGCAAGAGUUUGGGUAUAGUAUAAACACCUUCGUGCAGUCAGUGAAGUUUCUAGAAGAGCUUGGCAAACUAACAAAUCUUAGGAAACUGAGCAUUCAAUGGGACACCCGUGAACUCGAAGAAGCCAGUUGCAAGGGAGAAAAACUAGUGUCCUCCCUCUGUAAAAUGGACGAAUGCAAGCUUCGCAACCUCCACAUUUUACUGUAUCUGAGAGAAGGUGAUGGCUUCGUAGGACAUCCAUCCAUCCCAGCUCUCAAUAGCAUCCGGAGCAUUACACUUGGCUGUGGGCGAAUCUCUUGGAUUGCCCAAUGGUUGAUUUCACUUACCAACCUAGAACUAUUAGUCGUCAAUGGUGCAGAGAUGGAGCAGCAGGAUGUUAACAUGGUUGGAAGUAUACCUACUUUGCUCGAAUUCAGACUGUUAAUCAACAGCACCGGGCUCACCAUCAAUGGCGGGGGAUUUCAGCAGCUACAGAAGCUUGUGUUCAACGUCUCUACUACAGAGUUGAUGUUUGAGGUGGGGGCUAUGCCGAAUCUCAAAGAUCUUUUCCUUGGUAUUCAGUUAUGUAACUACAGAUCUUCAGCUACAGGUGGUGGCUUUGGUAACUUUGGCAUCCAACACCUCUCUAGCCUUGAUAGGAUCCAUGUCAAGAUAGAUUGCCGCGAUGGUAGGGCUGCAGAUUUGAAGGCUUCGAAGGUUGUUUUCAAGAGCAUGGCCGACGCGCACCCCAACCGUCCAACGCUGGAAAUGGAC